ACAGUUUUUGUCACGUUAUAAUUGAAAAAGUGGGAAACGGUGUUUGCAUCUUAUUUAUACGGAGACAUUCGUCUUUGUUUCAUCGGGUUUUUGUAUCUGUUCUUUACAUUCAAUUUUUCGGUCGUGGAGCUUCAAUCAAACGUGAAUCUUUUGAUAGAAAAGAAGCUGCUCACAAGGAGGAACCCUUGUCAGACAGUAGAAAUUUGAUCAAGCUAAGUACAAAAAGGAGUUCUAAAGAAGUAUAAAAAAAUCAGUUUGUCAGGCACUCUGCAAUUUAAGAGAAAACUAAUGAAGAGCAACAUAAAGCUAACAGAAAGGUUAUAUUUAACUUAGAAGUAGUGUAUAUGUAAUAAUGAGUUUAAGUUCCGCAUGGAUGAGUUGCAAUCGCAUUGACCAUUUAGCGAUUAAUGCGUAUAGUUUACACAGAUUAAUAGUGUAGAGUGCGAUGUUAAUAGUUUAGUCAUAUAAACGUUAAUUAUACAUGAUAAUUUGGACAUAUUUUAAAAGCAAAAAUGGGGAAAAAUGAUAAUACAAAAUGCAAGAAUUAGUUGAGUUUGCAGCUGUCGAAAUAAUGGAACACAGGCAAAAACAUGGUUUGUAUUGCUGACAACAGUGAUCAAGGAUUGAGGUACGUUUACGAGUAUGAGAGAAACUUAUUGGCCGAUGACUCGAAUGAUGAGAAAACGAUGUACUAGGCAGUGGGCAGUCUGGAAGUUGAUGGCCGAGCGAGGGAAGCGGAUCCGUACCAGGAUUUCACUCCGAGGGGACCGGUCCUGACCUAAGAUCGGCAAUUCAAGGUCGUUUGAUUGGAGCAAAGGUUUACCCAUCAGAGACCCAGAGUGUAGCAAAUAAUAUAAAAGCAUAUGUAUUGAAAUUACAUGCGGAUUGUACGACAGCUAAGUACACUGGGUGUUUUGAAAAGUUUUCCCAUUGUUGUAUUUUGAAAAAAUAAGUACUAAAAUUAGAUCGUAGUCUCUUUAGAAAUCACACAUCUGUUAGAUGAAGGAAAGUCUUAUAGGGACAAGUGUUAUUUCAUCUGCAAUAUAUGCCAUAAAGUUGGUACAUUCAAAACGAGGACGAACACACGAUUUAGCUGUGAAGCCUCUGUCUGAUGCUGCGCGAAGACUUACAUAUAAGCCAAGAAAAUAAAUGACAUUAAUGACGCUAAUGAUGUUAUUUCUUUAUGUGAAUGUUUUCAAAAGAUAUGCGUCUUACUGACGUUAGAGAUUGAGCUAUGAUUCCGUUAUGCUAUGCUGGAGUUUUACGCUUUUUAUGACAUGACUAAUACAUUGUUCAGAUAUAACAUUUGAAAACGAUCAAAUUAUUGUUUAAAUUAGAUCAAGUAAGACUGAUGUUGCAGAGAGGGUCGAUAAUUUUUGAAAGCGAAGGGCAGUACCAUCGCAUGUCCUUAUAAUAUGUUGAAACGUUAUAUGGAAAUGGCUGGUUUAUCAAGUUCUUCAGAGGAGUUUUAAUGUAUGCGUAAGUUUCUAUCAAAAGGAGUUUAUUCAUUGAUUCAUAAAAACAAAACGACAAGCUAUACUAGGACUACAUAAUGUAUUGUUAAAAAUUUACCCUUAGUCACUCCAGGUUUAAAAUAAGGGUUGCAUACGUUGCGCGCAAGUGGAGCAACGUCGACCGCAAAUGUUGCCGGGCUUUUCAGGUAGGUGUAUUAAAAGGCAUGGUCGUUGGAAGACGGAUCAAACAAAAGAUGUAUAUAUCUAUGAUUCUUUGAACAAGAACCUUAAUAUUACUAAAAUCUUUAGCUUAUGAAUAGAUUGUCGGUAACUAGAAUGUAGAGGACAAGCGAAUCUGAAUGUUUAUUUACCUUCUUUACUUUGUUAUUUCUAUAAAUAAGUCUUAUAAACAGAGUGAGUUCGCUUAUGGUUAGUUAACGGUGUCUUACCACAUAGAGUUUUCUACUUUACAUCGAAUAGGGGGACCGUUGUCUCAACGUGGCAAUUUCAAAACUGGUUAGGGCAGUUUUUGUCACGUAAUUGUGAUAAUUGAAUAGGGAGAAAGGGUGAUUACAGUUAUUUCUACGGGACAUUCGUCUUGGGAAUAUCAAGUUUUUUUAAACAUUUAAAUUAACAUUAUUAUAAAAGUAAAAUAUAAAAGACAAAGAAUAGUUUUUGUUUUUGUUAAAUCGAGCAUGUUAAGAUAUGUUCGUCAUCUCAUAUUUGAAGCGUUAGUCUGAGAAAAAAACAGUGUUCCUCGCAUUUUUAUUGAUAUUUAAACAACAGCAAUAUCAAUAAAAUACAUGGUACACCAUAUAAAGAAGAACAAAUAAAAAUAUUCUCAAGCAUUGUUACGAAUACAGGUUUUCUUGUCCAUUAAACAAGAAAAACGGGUUUUGCCUUGGCGGCUAGUAACCCAGAGAUAAAUAUUCGUUCUUAUCACAAGACAAUGCUUGGUUUUCAGUUGAAGUCGCCAUGUUUUUGUAGUUUUUUUGUACAUAUGGAUAUGUUUUUCAUGCAAUUGUUUUAAGGGAUUAAUUUGUUAUUGUUUUUUUGUCCCCAACCCCCUCCUCCCCAUGUAUCUGUUGUUGCCCAAAAUAAACGUCUCUCAUAACCACAACGUGUUCGCUUAUGUUUUGUUACGGGUGUGUUAAGACCAAGCGUUUGCUGUAUGUUGGAGCAAGUAAUGGUGAUAGAUAAUACAGUAUUGUAAAGUAGGAUUACAUAUAGUGGUUAAGCCAUAAAGGAUGUAUCUUUAUCCAUAGAUUUAUUGAGAGAGUCGUCGGUCUGUUAUGAGUACGAGUUAAUUUACAGUAUAAUAACCACUGUUAAUUCACGUAAAAACGGGACCUUAAACAAGCAAUGAGCAGUUGCUCAUCUUUCUAGUUGAGUUUUGAUGAUGAACUUUGUUGAAUUUUAAUACUUUUCGAAAUCUAAAAUUAAAAACAUUGAUUUUUUGUAAAAUUUGGAAUAGAGAUUCUUUGUAAUUUAUUCAAAGUAUUAUUCUGAGCCUUAGUCUAGAUCAUUGCCCAAGAUAACAGCGAUAGUGACAAUAAAAUCACACACUGAAUACAAAGUCCUAACACACAUCUACACUUAAUACAGUAACAUUGACAUAAGUAAGAUCUACUCGUAUAUAAUCUAUAAAACUACAUUAUGCAUUAGAAUGCAGGACACGUUUUAUGUCGUAAGAUUGAAAUAAAUACAAACGGCAAUGUACAAAAUCGCAAAAAAUAAACAAUCAAAUGCAUUGCGCAUUUGGGACUUCACAAAAUACCAAAUACACAUAGUGUUUGCCCUUCAGUUUUAGCCAAUCGUGGGCGCUGGAUGUAUAAAAUGUUUAGUUUAUUAUUUGUGAAGAAUCGUUACGUAUUGCUGAAAACUACUUCUUGUGAUGAAGAAAAUUGAUAUAACUGCGCAUGCGCAUAUAGCCACACCUACUGUUGCAUAUGCAAAUGCGCAAUUUUCAUUGUCAAUGCUGAUUUAUAUGAUGUCACAAUACCAUGGAGGGGUCAUCCUGUGAGUUAAAUGUCUUUUUGACAAGCACAAGGAAGAAUUCUAAAGCUGAUGCACUUUGGGUGGACCUAAAGUUAAGUAGGUUAGAAUUCAAACUACGGUAGCUUUCCUGCGCUCCUCUCUCUUUUAAAAGUUACCUUUUUACGAAGAAAUUACUUAGUAAACUCUAAUCUGUAAUUGUUAAAUAUAUCAAUGUCUUAUGAAAUAGAAUAAACAAUUCUUACUCACGCACACAUUCACGCAAACACGCACGCACGCACGCA